rnacentral:rRNA from 1 species
AGAGUUUGAUCAUGGCUCAGGACGAACGCUGGCGGCGUGCUUAACACAUGCAAGUCGAACGGAAAGGCCCUUCGGGGUACUCGAGUGGCGAACGGGUGAGUAACACGUGGGUGAUCUGCCCUGCACUUUGGGAUAAGCCUGGGAAACUGGGUCUAAUACCGAAUAGGACCGCGCGCUUCAUGGUGUGUGGUGGAAAGCUUUUGCGGUGUGGGAUGGGCCCGCGGCCUAUCAGCUUGUUGGUGGGUAAUGGCCUACCAAGGCGACGACGGGUAGCCGGCCUGAGAGGGUGACCGGCCACACUGGGACUGAGAUACGGCCCAGACUCCUACGGGAGGCAGCAGUGGGGAAUUUUGGACAAUGGGCGCAAGCCUGAUCCAGCCAUGCCGCGUGCGGGAAGAAGGCCUUCGGGUUGUAAACCGCUUUUGUCAGGGAAGAAAUCCUUUGGGUUAAUACCCCGGGGGGAUGACGGUACCUGAAGAAUAAGCACCGGCUAACUACGUGCCAGCAGCCGCGGUAAUACGUAGGGUGCAAGCGUUAAUCGGAAUUACUGGGCGUAAAGCGUGCGCAGGCGGUUUUGUAAGACAGAGGUGAAAUCCCCGGGCUCAACCUGGGAACUGCCUUUGUGACUGCAAGGCUUGAGUGCGGCAGAGGGGGAUGGAAUUCCGCGUGUAGCAGUGAAAUGCGUAGAUAUGCGGAGGAACACCGAUGGCGAAGGCAAUCCCCUGGGCCUGCACUGACGCUCAUGCACGAAAGCGUGGGGAGCAAACAGGAUUAGAUACCCCGGUAGUCCAA